AUUGAACGCUGGCGGCAUGCCUUACACAUGCAAGUCGAACGGCAGCACGGGAGCUUGCUCCUGGUGGCGAGUGGCGAACGGGUGAGUAAUACAUCGGAACGUACCCUGAAGUGGGGGAUAACGUAGCGAAAGUUACGCUAAUACCGCAUAUUCUGUGAGCAGGAAAGAGGGGGAUCGCAAGACCUCUUGCUUUAGGAGCGGCCGAAUGUCGGAUUAGCUAGUUGGUGAGGUAAAGGCUCACCAAGGCGACGAUCCGUAGCGGGUCUGAGAGGAUGAUCCGCCACACUGGGACUGAGACACGGCCCAGACUCCUACGGGAGGCAGCAGUGGGGAAUUUUGGACAAUGGGCGCAAGCCUGAUCCAGCCAUGCCGCGUGAGUGAAGAAGGCCUUCGG
rnacentral:rRNA from 1 species